rnacentral:miRNA from 17 species
AGUUUUGCAGGUUUGCAUUCAGC